rnacentral:misc_RNA from 1 species
GAUGAAGAACGUAGCGAAAUGCGAUAAGUAAUGCGAAUUGCAGAAUCCGUGAGUCAUCGAAUCUUUGAACGCACAUUGCGCCCCCUGGUAUUCCGGAGGGCAUGCCUGUUCGAGCGUCAUUAUCACCCCUCAAGCCCGGCUUGUUGUUGGAUGCAGCGCUUAUCCCGCUCCUCCCAAAGAUAAUGACGGCGUCUGCGACGACUCCUGUACACUGAGCUUUCGGGCACGUACACGGCUAGAAGUCCAGACCCGGUCGCCGUCCCCCCCGCGGGGACACCCAUUACCACAAGGUUGACCUCGGAUCAGGUAGGAAUACCCGCUGAACUUAAGCAUAUCAAUAAGCGGAGGA